rnacentral:rRNA from 1 species
CCUGGCUUAGGAUGAACGCUGGCGGCGUGCUUAACACAUGCAAGUCGAACGAAGUCUCUAGACAGAUCCUCGGGAUGACGACUAGAUGUACUAGUGGCGGACGGGUGAGUAACGCGUGGGUAACCUGCCUCAUACAGGGGGAUAACAGUUGGAAACAGCUGCUAAUACCCCAUAAGCGCACAAUGUCGCAUGACAAAGUGUGAAAAACUCCGGUGGUAUGAGAUGGACCCGCGUCUGAUUAGCUAGUUGGUGAGGUAACGGCCCACCAAGGCGACGAUCAGUAGCCGACUUGAGAGAGUGAUCGGCCACAUUGGGACUGAGACACGGCCCAGACUCCUACGGGAGGCAGCAGUGGGGAAUAUUGCACAAUGGGGGAAACCCUGAUGCAGCGACGCCCGCGUGAGUGAUGAAGUAUUUCGGUAUGUAAAGCUCUAUCAGCAAGGAAGAUAAUGACGGUACUUGACUAAGAAGCCCCGGCUAAAUACGUGCCAGCAGCAGC